UGACUACUUUGCAUAUUGCAACUUUCGAGUUCUUACAUGACAUGUAUGUUCGAACUCUCUUUUGAUCAUUGUUCAGUGUACUCGAUCACUCUUUCGAGCACCUAUGUGUUUGCUUUAGUGUCCAACACUAAAUGACAUGAGACUAGUCAUACUCACGCUUAAGUCGACAUAACACAUACUAACCUUAGCGGAUUGUCAAUGCCCAAUUGGCAAUCCUAUGGCUAGGAACGUUUUAG
rnacentral:lncRNA from 1 species